GUGGGGAAUAUUGGNCAAUGAACGAAAGUUUGACACAGCCACGCCGGGUGUGGGAGGACGUUAUAUAGGGUUGUAAACCACUUUCAGNAGGGAAGAAAAUGACGGUNCCUCCACAAAAAGCCCCGGCCGACUACGUGCCAGCAGCCGCGGUAAUACGUAGGGGGCGAGCGUUGUCCGGUUUUAUUGGGNGUAAAGAGCUCGUAGGCGGUUGAACAAGUAGGUUGUGAAAGUUCACGGCUCAACCCUGAAAUGUCAGAUCAAUAAUGUUNUNCUAGUAUACGNGUAGANGGAGUGGAAUUCCUAGUGUAGCGGUGGAAUGCGUAGAUAUUCUGAGGAACACCAAUUGCGAAGGCAGCUCACUGGACCGCUAUUGACGCUGANGAGCGAAAGCNAGGGGAGCAAACAGGAUUAAAUACCCUGGUAGUCCUNGCUGUAAACUAUGGNUACUAGANGUAGNNNNUGNAUUAANGUUUCNGUGUCGCAGCUAACGCGUUAAGUAUCCCCCUGGGGAGUACGGGAGUCGCG
rnacentral:rRNA from 1 species